CCGCCAUGAUUGUGAGGCUUCCCCAGCCAUGUGGAAACAUAUUCGCAGAGCACCCACUAGGUGCCAGUAAAUGUAUGAGAAGUCCUGUGGAAUAAGACUGAAGUUGUCCUUGCCUUCAAGCAACUUGCAAUUGCCUAAGAACACAGUUUAAAACCACAAAACUAAGCCUUGGAAAUCACAUGCUGUCAUUUCUGCGAUCGGUCAUAACCAGUCCUGAUUCCAUGUUAGAGGAGACUACAUAAGGACACAGGUACCAGAAGAAACUUCUAAGUGCUGCUGUAUUUCACCAAGCUCCAGUUGAUAUCCAAAUUGGACAACUCCUGUGUGCCAGGACAAUUAAAAGGUAAAGUUGAAAAAUGAUUUGAACAACAAAGGCAAAUUAAAAGCCCUCCCUGGAGCAAAGAUUGAAUCAAGAGUAUGGCUGUUAUGCUUCUGUUAAAACCUCUGAAUCAGUUAAGAGAAACGUAUGUCUCAACAGGGCCUGAUUAUUCACCUGGGCAACAGAAUCCAAGAACAUAGGCCACAGAGGCACAGUAGCUGACCCACAGCCUCUAACGUGUAAACUUCCUAUGUAAGCUGUCUCAUUUUCUCCGAAGCCAUGUGCUUGUUUUGCAGUAUCAUGUGGAAGAAAUAUUUGAAGGAUUUAGACUAAUUUUAAAUCCUGCUUCUGCUGCUUGCCAGGAGCAUGUCAACAGGGCCACCAAGAUGACACUGAGGCCCCUACCCAGCAUCCCAAAGGCAGUAUCACAGCAAAAGCUUUAAAAAAUAAAUUUAUAUUUCCUUCAUCACAAAUGUUAUGAAUACCAAUUAUAGAAAAUGUAGAAAUCCAAUAAAUUAGAAAGAAGAGAGAAAAAAUUACCCAAAGCCUACCACUCAGAAUGAAAAAUUUGGAGUCUAGUGAAAAGAAGUGACUUGCUCAAAAUCACACAGCACAUGAAGAACAGAGCCUCUAUGAUGAAUUUCUUGACAGCAUAAAGAAUUCUUGCAAACAACAAAGGAGACUUAGCUGAAACUUUUGGCCUC
rnacentral:lncRNA from 1 species